AUACGGAGGGUGCAAACGUUGUUCGGAAUCACUGGGCAUAAAGCGCGCGUAGGCGGUGGCAUUAGUCAUCCGUGAAAUCCCUCGGCUCAACCGAGGAACUGCGGCUGAUACUGUGUCACUAGAGUACGGGAGGGGAGAGUGGAAUUCCUGGUGGAGCGGUGAAAUGCGUAGAUAUCAGGAGGAACGCCGGGGGCGAAAGCGACUCUCUGGCCCGUGACUGACGCUGAGACUCGAAGGCGUGGGGAGCAAACAGGAUUAGAUACCCUGGUAGUCC
rnacentral:rRNA from 1 species